UAAGAAGAUAUUGAGAUUAGACAGUGCUGCCGUGCGGCCGCCGCAAGACACUUUUAAUAUCCCUGUUUCCCAGGCUGUAGAUAAAGGGGUUGAGCAUGGAGGUGACCACCGUGUACAUCACUGCAGCCACUGCACCCUUUCUGGGGGAAGAUGACACAUCUGAACUGAGGUACCCUCCAACACCUCUUCCAUAAAAUCAGCAAACAACUGACAGAGAUCAUGCAGCGGGAGCCCACGAUCGGUUUAAUCAUCACUCACUUCCAUUGGAUCAACUACAAAUCAACUCAGAUGAGAGUGCUGAGUCUCAGAGGAUGGACAUCUCACCCCUUGCCAUACAGAUAAGUAGAAAGGAUGGUAUUCAAAAUUAAUGGCCAGACUCUAAGUCCCAGAUACUAUACUUCAUGGUCUUCCAACUCUCAAAAAGUUGUGGGAGUUUUUUUUUGUUUUUGUUUUUGUUUUUUUGAGACGGAGUCUCAUUCUGUUGCCCAGGCUGGAAGUGCAGUGGAGUGAUCUCAGCUCAUUGCAACCUCCGCAUCCCAGGUUCAAGCUAUUCUCCUGCCUCAGCCUGCUGAGCAGCUGAGAUUACAGGCGCCCGCCACUAUGCCCGACUAAUUUUUUUCUAUUUUUAGUAGAGACGGGGUUUCACCAUGUUGGCCAGGCUGGUCUCG
rnacentral:lncRNA from 10 species